rnacentral:rRNA from 1 species
AACGAACGCUGGCGGCAGGCUUAACACAUGCAAGUCGAGCGCCCCGCAAGGGGAGCGGCAGACGGGUGCGUAACGCGUGGGAACGUACCUUUUGGUUCGGAACAACUCCGGGAAACUGGAGCUAAUACCGGAUAAGCCCUAACGGGGAAAGAUUUAUCGCCGAAAGAUCGGCCCGCGUCUGAUUAGCUAGUUGGUGAGGUAACGGCUCACCAAGGCGACGAUCAGUAGCUGGUCUGAGAGGAUGAUCAGCCACACUGGGACUGAGACACGGCCCAGACUCCUACGGGAGGCAGCAGUGGGGAAUAUUGGACAAUGGGCGCAAGCCUGAUCCAGCCAUGCCGCGUGAGUGAUGAAGGCCUUAGGGUUGUAAAGCUCUUUUGUCCGGGAAGAUAAUGACUGUACCGGAAGAAUAAGCCCCGGCUAACUUCGUG